rnacentral:tRNA from 1 species
GUGGGGCAUAGUGCAGUGGCAGCACACUGCCAUGCAAAGGCAGAAGCGCAGGUUCGACUCCUUGCUACCUCACG